UCUUCUAGCAAUGUUUUUAAACAUAUGGCAUUCACUUUCAAGGCCCAACUUGCUGCUCAAGAGAAACUUUAGAUGCUGAUGUGUAAUUAUCUGAUGGAACAAAGUUGCCUAAUUUCAAGUCGAAUGGAAAUAAGGGAAUGCAGAGAACUUGAGGAAACCCGAGAGCGUUCAAGUCAGCGAGGCAACAGGAACAAAAGCACAGAGAAGGCAGCUUUCUGAUGACAGAAUUUGGAGGCAAGAAAACUGUCUCGAUGAUAGGGCCAGUGUCUGGUAACGUCUGUUCUGGAGUAUUCUGAGGGCAUGGGUGCACUGGUUCUCAUACUGCCAUUUCACCAAGAAGAGCUCUGACGCUGGGAGCGCUGUGGCAGGCAUUUUGCAUCAAGUGUGAUACACAUCUCAGACGAGAUGAGGCAUUUAAAGUGUCAGAUGAGAAUUGUGGCUUCUACUGAUGAAUAAAUGUGUUUGUAAU